GUCAGCUGCUCGUUUUGUGACGGCUCACUUGUGUUUCCUAAAUAUCUUAGGACCCCGAGUUCUUGUUAUCUGUUCCGAGACUGAGCGCUCUAACCACACGUGGGUAUGCUUACCGGGUCUCCCCUCGAUCACUGCCGGAAUCUACAUCUUUGUCCAGUGGCCACAACUAGUUUGGAUGUUUGUUUUGUUUCUCUCGGGCGUGCAAGCUUGCUUCUUUAUGGUCAGAUGAUAUGAUAUUACUUUUGGGGAAGCCAUGAGUGCCUUGUAUCCCCGUUGUCUCUUGCACGUCCGUAGGUGCGGCACGUAUUGUUAAGAGGUCAUCCUCUAGUGGGCUCUGAUCCUCUUAACCGUUCUCGCAACAGCUAGGUCCGCGUCAGAGUUCCGAUCGGGCUCUGAAACGGGUUAACUUAGUUAGGUGGCUUCCUGGACAUUGUUGUGGUGAAGGAGAGUGCGAGUCGUGAUAUCCAUCUGUCGCAAGUGGGUUGAGCGUGCGUGUGGGCACAUUUGGGCACCCCUGCAGGGUUACAAUCUUAUCGAUAAGCCGCGUCCGCGGUUAUGGACGACUUGGAGCUGUAUGACUUGACCAUAGACAACUUACACCUGUUGUUUCAAUCAUAAUAACUUGUGUAGUAAGUUAGCACAACUCUAAUAAUAAAUGGUUAAAACUUUACAACCGUGUGAGUGCCUUUGUUAGUACUUCUUGGCGAAGGGGGAACACAUUGGCUGUGUUUUGUUUGCAGAGUAUAGAACUGUUAGUUACGCUCUCUCACCUUCUCUGAUUAGACGACUGUUGUAGAGUGUCUCUAUAGGUUUUUAGUGCUUGCGCUGCCGCUUAACUCCACCAUAUUGCCUAUGACGUUCCUCUUGCGUCCUCUAAGUCCCCUGCGUGCCUCAAGUACAAAGGACGACUGGUUGACGAAUGCUUAUACGUCUUGAAGUCUUGUUAAGUACGAACCGUACUUAUUGCUGCUUCUACGGGAUAUAACCGGGCAGGUAUGAAGAUAUGUUCGAUGAAGACGACGUUAGCGAGGUUACCCUUCCGGCUUGGCCUGGGCAGGGUUAUGGACGCCACUGGUUAUCUUCAGGACUCUUAGUCCAAGUUGUAUCUUGUCCGUACUCGGACGUAAUCGAUAUUUGUAUGAUUUGGAUCUUUGUAUUGUAUAUUUGUAUCUUGACUCGUUGGAGUCGUUGUUGUAAUAUAUGUAUCUUGUGGGCUCUAUUGUAAUCCUGUUGUAAUGUUACUACUCGUGGUAAUUCCUCUGGCAUCA